GAGUCUAACAUAUGUGCAAGUCAUUGGGAUUAAUUUAAUUAAACCCAAAGGCGUAAUUAACUUAAAUUAUUUUAUAAUGGGAUUAGUUUUUAAUCUAUAGAUUAUUAAUUCAAUCCCAGGGCGUUCUAUAUAGUUAUGUUUGAAUAAUAUUUAUAUUAUUUAUAAACCUCUAACUGGAGCGUACCUUGAGCAUAUAUGCUGUGACCCGAAAGAUGGUGAACUAUACUUGAUCAGGUUGAAGUCAGGGGAAACCCUGAUGGAAGACCGAAACAGUUCUGACGUGCAAAUCGAUUGUCAGAAUUGAGUAUAGGGGCGUAAGACUAAUCGAACCAUCUAGUAGCUGGUUCCCUCCGAAGUUUCCCUCAGGAUAGCUGGUGCAUUUAAAGAUUAUGUAAAAUAAUCCUAUCUGGUAAAGCGAAUGAUUAGAGGCCUUAGGGUCGAAACGAUCUUAACCUAUUCUCAAACUUUAAAUGGGUAAGAACCUCACCUUUCUUGAUAUGAAGGUUGAGGUUGUGAUAUAAUGUGCCCAGUGGGCCACUUUUGGUAAGCAGAACUGGCGCUGUGGGAUGAACCAAACGUAAUGUUACGGUGCCCAAAUUAACAACUCAUGCAGAUACCAUGAAAGGCGUUGGUUGCUUAAAACAGCAGGACGGUGGACAUGGAAGUCGUAAUCCGCUAAGGAGUGUGUAACAACUCACCUGCCGAAGCAACUAGCCCUUAAAAUGGAUGGCGCUCAAGUUGUAUACCUAUACAUUACCGCUAAAGUAAAUGAUUUAUAUUCAAUUUCGGUUGAAUUUUAAAUUUUGAAACUUUAGUGAGUAGGAGGGUACAAUGGUGUGCAUAGAAGUGUUUGGCGAAAGCCUGCAUGGAGCCGCCAUUGGCACAGAUCUUGGUGGUAGUAGCAAAUAAUCGAAUGAGACCUUGGAGGACUGAAGUGGAGAAGGGUUUCGUGUGAACAGUGGUUGAUCACGAGUUAGUCGGUCCUAAGUUCAAGGCGAAAGCCGAAAAUUUUCCAGUUAUAAUUAAAAAUAUAUUAUAAAAUAUUGUUAUUAAACACUGGAUUUUUUUUUGAACGAAAGGGAAUACGGUUCCAAUUCCGUAACCUGUUGAGUAUCCGUUUGUUAUUAAAAAUGGGCCUUGUGCUCAUCCUGGUAACAGGAACGACCAUAAAGAAGCCGUCGAGAGAUAUCGGAAGAGUUUUCUUUUCUGUUUUAUAGUCGUACUACCAUGGAAGUCUUUCGAAGAGAGAUAUGGUAGAUGGACUAGAAGAGCAUGACAUUUACUGUUGUGUCGAUAUUUUCUCCUCGGACCUUGAAAAUUUAUGGUGGGGUCACGCAAACUUCUCAACAGGCCGUACCGAUAUCCGCAGCUGGUCUCCAAGGUGAAGAGUCUCUAGUCGAUAGAAUAAUGUAGGUAAGGGAAGUCGGCAAAUUAGAUCCGUAACUUCGGGAUAAGGAUUGGCUCUGAAGAUUGAGAUAGUCGGGCUUGAUUGGGAAGCAAUAAUAUGGUUUAUGUACUCGUUCUGGAUAAAUAGAGAUUUUCGGAUCUUGUUCCCCGGAUAGUAGUUACGUAACCAAUUGUGGAACUUUCUUGCUAAAAUUUUUAUAGAAUUAUCGAAAGAUAUAUAAUAUUUAAAUUAUAACGAUUAUCAAUUAACAAUCAAUUCAGAACUGGCACGGACUUGGAGAAUCCGACUGUCUAAUUAAAACAAAGCAUUGUGAUGGCCCUAGCGGGUGUUGACACAAUGUGAUUUCUGCCCAGUGCUCUGAAUGUCAACGUGAAGAAAUUCAAGUAAGCGCGGGUCAACGGCGGGAGUAACUAUGACUCUCUUAAGGUAGCCAAAUGCCUCGUCAUCUAAUUAGUGACGCGCAUGAAUGGAUUAACGAGAUUCUCGCUGUCCCUAUCUACUAUCUAGCGAAACCACAGCCAAGGGAACGGGCUUGGAAAAAUUAGCGGGGAAAGAAGACCCUCCUGAGCUUGACUCUAAUCUGGCAGUGUAAGGAGACAUAAGAGGUGUAGCAUAAGUGGGAGAUAAUAACGCUAAUAACGUUUUAUCGCCAAUGAAAUACCACUACUCUUAUUGUUUCCUUACUUACUUGAUUUAAGUGGAACGUGUAUCAUUUCCUAGCCAUUAUACGGAUAUAUUUUAUAUAUAUCUUAUGGUAUUGGGUCUUGAUGCAAGCUUCUUGAUCAAAGUGCCACGAGUUUGUUAUAUAAUUGUAAACAAAUUUUAAUAAAAUGAUAUUAUUUCGAUGAUAUUGUUAUAAUUAAAAUAUGGUAUAACUCCAAUUACUCAGGCAUGAUCCAAUUCAAGGACACUGUUUGGUAGGGAGUUUGACUGGGGCGGUACAUCUCUCAAAUAAUAACGGAGGUGUCCCAAGGCCAGCUCAGUGCGGACAGAAACCACACAUAGAGCAAAAGGGCAAAUGCUGACUUGAUCUCGGUGUUCAGUACACACAGAGACAGCAAAAGCUCGGCCUAUCGAUCCUUUUGGUUUAAAGAGUUUUUAACAAGAGGUGUCAGAAAGUUACCAAAGGGAUAACUGGCUUGUGGCGGCCAAGCGUUCAUAGCGACGUCGCUUUUUGAUCCUUCGAUGUCGGCUCUUCCUAUCAUUGUGAAGCAAAAUUCACCAAGCGUUGGAUUGUUCACCCAUGCAAGGGAACGUGAGCUGGGUUUAGACCGUCGUGAGAUAGGUUAGUUUUAUCCUCCUAAUGACUAAUAUUGUUGCAACAGCAUUCCUGCGUAGUACGAGAGGAACCGCAGGUACGGACCAAUGGCACAAUACUUGUUCGAGCGAACAGUGGUAUGACGCUACGUCCGUUGGAUUAUGCCUGAACGCCUCUAAGGUCGUAUCCGUGCUGGACUGCAAUGAUAAAAAUGGGGCAAUUGCUUUGUAUGGCUUCUAAACCAUUUAAAGUUUAUUUAUAAACGACAAUGGAUGUGAUGCCAAUGUUACUAUUAACAUAGCAAAUUCGGGAGGAUUAAAUAUCACUUGAAUGCCGCGCUAGUUAAUUGUUAAAACAUUAUUUAAUACAAUGACAAUGCCUAGAAUCAAUUGUAAACGACUUUUGUAACGGGCA
rnacentral:rRNA from 1 species